rnacentral:rRNA from 1 species
UACGAAGGGGGCAAGCGUUGUUCGGAUUUACUGGGCGUAAAGAGCGCGCAGGCGGUCGUUCAAGUCGAGUGUGAAAGCCCCCGGCUCAACUGGGGAGGGUCACUCGAUACUGAUCGACUUGAAGGCAGGAGAGGGAAGCGGAAUUCCCGGUGUAGUGGUGAAAUGCGUAGAUAUCGGGAGGAACACCAGUGGCGAAGGCGGCUUCCUGGCCUGUUCUUGACGCUGAGGCGCGAAAGCUAGGGGAGCAAACGGGG